rnacentral:lncRNA from 1 species
CUUGGUUGCUUAGUUUGGUAUCAUCAUACGAUUCACUCACUCACUCAAUCAAUGAAUGUGUGCUUUGCUUUGUGCCUUCCUUCCUUCCUUCCUUCCUUCCUUCGAUUACUUACUUUACUGAUUCUAUUUCCAUUCCUUCAAAGCUGUUAUUAUAUAUAUAAUCUCUACACAACAACGCAACAGAACUUCAAAUACAUUUGCUACUACAAAAUUUAUUCCACAAAUUUAAAAAGGAAGGAAGAAGAUUCAUUGUUCAUUCAUACUGCAAAUAAUA